rnacentral:rRNA from 1 species
UACAGAGGCCUCGAGCGUUAAUCGGAGUCACUGGGCUUAAAGGGUGCGUAGGCGGGUCCGCAAGUGCCUUGUGAAAUCCCACGGCUCAACCGUGGAAUGGCCCGGCAGACUGCGGGUCUUGAGGUCGGUAGGGGUCGCUGGAACUCUAGGUGGAGCGGUGAAAUGCGUAGAUAUCUAGAGGAACGCCAAAGGUGAAGACAAGCGACUGGGCCGAUUCUGACGCUGAGGCACGAAAGCGUGGGGAGCGAACGGG